GAUGAACGCUGGCGGCGUGCCUAAUACAUGCAAGUCGAGCGAAUGGAUUAAGAGCUUGCUCUUAUGAAGUUAGCGGCGGACGGGUGAGUAACACGUGGGUAACCUGCCCAUAAGACUGGGAUAACUCCGGGAAACCGGGGCUAAUACCGGAUAACAUUUUGAACCGCAUGGUUCGAAAUUGAAAGGCGGCUUCGGCUGUCACCUAAGGAUGGACCCGCGUCGCAUUAGCUAGUUGGUGAGGUAACGGCUCACCAAGGCAACGAUGCGUAGCCGACCUGAGAGGGUGAUCGGCCACACUGGGACUGAGACACGGCCCAGACUCCUACGGGAGGCAGCAGUAGGGAAUCUUCCGCAAUGGACGAAAGUUUGACGGAGCAACGCCGCGUGAGUGAUGAAGGCUUUCGGGUCGUAAAACUCUGUUGUUAGGGAAGAACAAGUGCUAGUUGAAUAAGCUGGCACCUUGACGGUACCUAACCAGAGAGCCACGGCUAACUACGUGCCAGCCGCCGCAGUAA
rnacentral:rRNA from 1 species